AUUGAACGCUGGCGGCAUGCCUACACAUGCAAGUCGAACGGCAGCACGGGUGCUUGCACCUGGUGGCGAGUGGCGAACGGGUGAGUAAUACAUCGGAACGUACCUUAUCGUGGGGGAUAACGCAGCGAAAGCUGUGCUAAUACCGCAUACGCCCUGAGGGGGAAAGCGGGGGAUCGAAAGACCUCGCGCGAUUAGAGCGGCCGAUGCCUGAUUAGCUUGUUGGUGGGGUAAAAGCCCACCAAGGCGACGAUCAGUAGCUGGUCUGAGAGGACGAUCAGCCACACUGGGACUGAGACACGGCCCAGACGCCUACGGGAGGGAGCAGUGGGGAAUUUUGGACAAUGGGGGCAACCCUGAUCCAGCAAUGCCGCGUGAGUGAAGAAGGCCUUCGGGUUGUAUAGCUCUUUUGUUAGGGAAGAAACACCGGCUCUAACACAGUCCGGGAAUGACGGUACCUGAAGAAUAAGCACCGGCUAACUACGUGCCAGCCGCCGCCGUAA
rnacentral:rRNA from 1 species